UCCUCUCCUCAAACUUAAGGAAGAAGUCUCUCCUGAAGUCACGAGCUGCAUUGUCUGGGGUUCGGGUAGCUGUGAAGCAAGCACUCCCUUGGCCACUCCAGCUGGUGUCUCACUAGAGAUGAGUAAAAGGAAAUCCAAAGUGGAGGUCUCAGUUUCAUUGGUGUGUUUGUUGCCUACAUUCACAUAUGUUUAAUGGCAAACCAAGUCUAGACAGAAGGCUUUCUCAAGAUUCAGGUUUACAUGUGAAGCCUUGUUAUAUGGGUAUAUUGAGAGAUGCUGAGGUUUCGGGUACAACCGAUCCUGUCACCAAGUGAGACUGCUUCCACAUCUGUGCUGAUUUACCUGACCUUCAAUCAGUGUGCCUGUCCCUGGAGGAUAAUGAAACCAGAGUGAGUUGGUGCUUUCUCUGGGUUUUGAACUCUUACUUAUA
rnacentral:lncRNA from 1 species